ACGGGUGAGUAAUGUCUGGGGAUCUGCCCGAUAGAGGGGGAUAACCACUGGAAACGGUGGCUAAUACCGCAUAACGUCGCAAGACCAAAGAGGGGGACCUUCGGGCCUCUCACUAUCGGAUGAACCCAGAUGGGAUUAGCUAGUAGGCGGGGUAACGGCCCACCUAGGCGACGAUCCCUAGCUGGUCUGAGAGGAUGACCAGCCACACUGGAACUGAGACACGGUCCAGACUCCUACGGGAGGCAGCAGUGGGGAAUAUUUCACAAUGGGCGCAAGCCUGAUGCAGCCAUGCCGCGUGUAUGAAGAAGGCCUUCGGGUUGUAAAGUACUUUCAGCGGGGAGGAAGGCAGUGAGGUUAAUAACCUUACUGAUUGACGUUACCCGCAGAAGAAGCACCGGCUAACUCCGUGCCAGCAGCCGCGGUAAUACGGAGGGUGCAAGCGUUAAUCGGAAUUACUGGGCGUAAAGCGCACGCAGGCGGUCUGUUAAGUCAGAUGUGAAAUCCCCGGGCUUAACCUGGGAACUGCAUUUGAAACUGGCAGGCUUGAGUCUCGUAGAGGGGGGUAGAAUUCCAGGUGUA
rnacentral:rRNA from 1 species